rnacentral:rRNA from 1 species
UACGUAGGGUGCAAGCGUUGUCCGGAAUUAUUGGGCGUAAAGAGCUUGUAGGCGGUUUGUCGCGUCUGCUGUGAAAUUUCGGGGCUCAACCCCGAACUUGCAGUGGGUACGGGCAGACUAGAGUGUGGUAGGGGAGACUGGAAUUCCUGGUGUAGCGGUGAAAUGCGCAGAUAUCAGGAGGAACACCCGUGGCGAAGGCGGCUCUCUGGGACGGUACUGACGCUGAGACGCGAAAGCGUGGGGGAGCGAACAGG